rnacentral:rRNA from 1 species
CGGGCACUUUCGGGUGUCAGUGGCGGACGGGUGAGUAACGCGUAGGAACAUGUCCAGGGGUGGGGGAUAACGCUGGGAAACUGGCGCUAAUACCGCAUGUGAGCUGAGGCUCAAAGCAGUGAUGCGCCUUGGAGUGGCCUGCGUCCGAUUAGCUUGUUGGUGGGGUAAUGGCUUACCAAGGCGACGAUCGGUAGCUGGUCUGAGAGGACGACCAGCCACACUGGGACUGAGACACGGCCCAG